AUUCAUCAACCUCAAAAUUUCUUUUGAACUUUCGAGGCUUGGUCUUGAGGGUUUGCGGGCUCUAGUAGUCAGCUCCCUUUAAAUCUAUUAGCGAGACUUCCCUCUGCUGACCGUCUCCGGCGUGAUAAUUAUCUACGUCGUUGUUGCGGUUCUCGUUGGGCUUGCUUCUAAUCGUCUUCGGACAACAGGAUUGAAGUGCAUAUAUGCGCCUCUUUUCGAACUA
rnacentral:misc_RNA from 1 species